rnacentral:ncRNA from 1 species
AAAUACUCCCGAGAGACCGAUAGUGAACCAGUACUGUGAAGGAAAGGUGAAAAGCACUUCGAACAGAAGAGUGAAAUAGUUCCUGAAACCAUGCGCCUACAAGCGGUCGGAGCUCUAACGAGUGACGGCGUGCCUUUUGCAUAAUGAACCUACGAGUUACUUUUUCCGGCAAGGUUAAGGGUCUUGAGACCUGCAGCCGAAGCGAAAGCGAGUCUUAACAGGGCGUUCAGUCGGA